rnacentral:tRNA from 1 species
UGAGGUUUAGCCAAGCGGUAAGGCACCGGACUCUGACUCCGGCAUUUCCCAGGUUCGAUCCCUGGAACCUCAGCCA